rnacentral:lncRNA from 1 species
UAGUGUGUUGUUUUGCUCAAUCGAACUAUCCCGAUUUGCUGUCAGGAUGGAUCAGAAUGCCCUGAGCCAUCUGGUUCGUUCGGCGAUCGUUGGAAUGAGCAUUAUUUUGUUAUUUCGAUUAAGCAGUCUUUGGGUUUCGAUACUUCAUGGGGUCGGUCUCGGCAGUCAUCGAACAAGGCUCCAAUACUCUCAGAUGCCAAGGAGGAAGUCUUGAAGUUCAUUUUUAGCUGUACCUCUCCUCUGCUUAUGCUCCUUUCCGAUGAGACAUUAUAUAAGGCUGGCUUGAGCUUGGCCAAGUCUCAGGGUAAGUGCCGAUAUUUGUAAUUUGUAUUUCACCUCAAUUCUUUUUGAUGGUGGUUUUUUGCUUUUUAGACAUGAAGCCUGAAGA